UGUUGGUCCAAAGGCCGUUCGUGAAAAUUUUGCUGGCGUGAUCAGGCAACAAGAUGUUAGAGCAACAGAGAUCGACAAAGUUGACUUGCAUCAGUCUUUCCAUGCUGGUGACAUUGUUAGAGCUAUGGUUCUAUCUCUUGGUGAUGCACGGGCAUACUAUUUGUCGACUGCUAAGAAUGA